rnacentral:lncRNA from 1 species
UCAGGUUUAUCGUGCCCCCGCGUGAUCAAUAACCCUCUGGAGUUGGUGUAUCGAUUGCUAAGGCGCUGCCUGCUAGGCCGUAGUCGGAUCGUCAACGUCACCUCCUACCCAAAUCGAGAGUUAUCAAUCUCAUCGAAAGAUCGGGCCACCCGCACCCGUAUCACGUGGUAUCAGAGCUUAAGGUUGCUCGGUGAGAUUUUUCCAGUUUAUCCGUAGUUUAGAUCUGUUUUUACCUAUCGUCCAGAAAAAGCCAAACAAAAAUUAGAAUUAGUUAUCAUGUCCUAGAACCAAUCUGAGCCUUGCAAUUUUCACUUUAGUAUUUGCAUUGUUGAAUCUUUACUGCAUUCAUCGUGUCGAGUUGCUGGAUUAGAUUUGAUCGUUUUUUAGAUUUUUUCUACUAGAUCGAACUUGCUUUUGGUUUUCUUGUUUUUCGUGUGACGCAGGUUUCCUUCAUCAAUCUUCCGCCGCCAAACUUCCUGCCGCCAUAAUCUCCCGCCGCCACCAUAUCUUCCACCGAGUCCUUCUUCGAGUCCUACACCGAGUCCCUCCUUGAGUCUUACACCGAGUCUCUCGUCAAGUCCUACACUGUGUCCCUCUUCGAGUUCUACAUCGAGUCGGCAAGUUAUAGUUUUUAGCUGCGAGUUCGAGUCCGAGUCCAAUAAGGAGUGCUUUUGGAAAGUGUUUCAUCAUAGAUCGAAUUUUGUUUAGAGAUCAAGUUGUUUGGAAAGAUGAAAAAAAAGAAAGGAAAGAAAAAAAAAGGAAAGAAAGAAAGAAAAAAACGAAAAAAAAAGAGAAAGAGUUCGAGUCAGUUUCGGACCCGAGUCCGAGUAGAAUUUUAGUUUCGGGUGGGUUUGACCCGUGUUCAGUAAAACGGGCGUAUCUUUUGUGUACCAACUCGGAUUUGGACGUUUUUGGACUUUUUGGAAAGCUCACGACGAGGCACAUCAGGAAAUAUCCAGGACUUUGACCCUCAAAUUCGUUUUGUAAGGUGGACUUUCGGAGCUUCCAAGUUUUUGCAUCCGUUUUCCGGCGUCGCUGCAGCCCGGUGUUUCUCAGUUUUCUCCACCGUCCGACAUCCGUUUUGAGUGAUCUUGCCCUUGCUGGAAAGCUUGUGUCGAUACCCUUCUAACCCAUAUUUUUCUCAAUUUUUCUUUCUGCAGCCUUUGCUGUUCUUCGACAGACCGACGUACAAUUUUCCGGUCCUUCUUUUGCGUGAGUUUCUGGGGUUAAAAAAAAGAAAAAAGAAAAAAAGAAGAAGAAAAGAAUAAGAAGCCAAACAGAAGGCCACAAAAAGAAAAAAAUUCCCAGGGAUUUACUUGUUGUGCCAUCUUUCUAUCCUACCUUCUUCAGUAUCUAGGCUUAGAUUAUUUCUGUAAUUCGUUCUUAUCGACUCCAGCAGCUAGGACUAGCAUUAUUGAGCAUAUUUUCAACUUUGCAUUGCUGAUUUGAUUAUUUUCUAUUCCUUGCUACUCACAAAAGCCUCCAAGCUCCACAGACUCUACACCUAGGUUGGUUUGUUACCGAGGCAUCGAUACAUUUAAUCUCCAGAGGUGUUGGUUACGCCGCUGGCCAUCACCUUCCUGUUUUGCAUGGUAAGAACUUGUAAGAACUUGAUUUUUAGCUUGAGAGUUGAGCGACUUGUAGCCACAUCCUAGUAGUUGAUAGGAACAUAUUACUGUGAUUUGUUUCUUGUUUUCUACUAACCAUGACAGGACUUACACGAAGCAUGGCAACUAGACCGAUGCUAUCCCGUGACCGCGAUGAGUGCUUUUCACCACGGCCAUCCUCCACGUCUCUUGUUGAUAAUGCCACGGCAACGGUACAAAACAAUCCUUCUAAUACAAUUAAAUUGUGUGUACCUUUCUUUGAGGGGGAAAAUGAUGCUGAAACGUAUAUAGAUUGGGAGCUAGCUUUAACUGAACAAUUCACAUGCUUCCAUGUACUAGAU